rnacentral:rRNA from 1 species
GACGAACGCUGGCGGCGUGCUUAACACAUGCAAGUCGAACGGAAAGGCCCUGCUUUUGUGGGGUGCUCGAGUGGCGAACGGGUGAGUAACACGUGAGUAACCUGCCCUUGACUUUGGGAUAACUUCAGGAAACUGGGGCUAAUACCGGAUAGGAGCUCCUGCUGCAUGGUGGGGGUUGGAAAGUUUCGGCGGUUGGGGAUGGACUCGCGGCUUAUCAGCUUGUUGGUGGGGUAGUGGCUUACCAAGGCUUUGACGGGUAGCCGGCCUGAGAGGGUGACCGGCCACAUGGGGACGGAGAUACGGCCCAGACCCCUAGGGGGGGCAGGGGGGGGGAAUAUUGCACAAGGGGCGGAAGCCUGAUGCAGCAACCCCGCGUGGGGGAGGACGGCCUUCGGGUUGUAAACCGCUUUCCCCUGGGACGAAGGGUGGGUGACGGUAAUGGGUAAAGAAGCACCGGCUAACUACGU